UAGAUUGUAGAUACAUUCAGUCCGAAUUUUAUCAUCGUACUGAAAAUACUUCCUUCAGUCAUCAUCCCCGUCGCGGUUGGUGUCGUUACUUGGAACGUUGAAGGAAGAACGGUUCAACGCUGUAUUCACUAAGUGAAGUGCUGGCAGGCGAAUAAUAUGUAACACAAAAUUCUGCAGUAAAAUUUUUGAAGAAUUUCGUUCUCCGCGUUGUAUUCCUUGGGUUCAUACAUGGCAAAACACCAUAGUUCCAGCACGGUAGAUACAGACGAAUGCUGUCUGCGACAGCACUUUCGGGGGUGUUAAAAAUACUUUUCCGUUCGAGACCAAAAUGUAUUCGUUAUCCUUUGCAGCCAUCGACAAAGGCUUCGUCACCAUGUUUUUGCAAUGAAUUCGAUUUAAAUCGAUUUUUACCCGAAAAGAAAACGCGGAAAGGAAUCAGUCGUUUAGCUUGAAUACAUACGUACUCAUGGGGAGUCCUGUGCGCGAUUAGUUCCAGUGUCGUUCGGCUGAGACUUGUAAGGAUCCUUUUAACGUAAAUGAAAGCCAUAAAAUCGAAUUGAGUUACUUAUUCCGUUCCCCCUUGCUCGUGAAACGGGGUUAAAGGAUACAUAAAAACCUUGCACCCUUAGUACAUACUUACAUAUGUAUGUAAAUGCAAAUGAAAGCCACUUUGGUCUAGUGAAUAUUUUCAGUGUGUGAUGCAAAGGUGUGAGCCCAGCGCUGGCAUCAGCAGAGAGAGUAGUGUUGAUAGUAAAAACGGGGAAUCACCCUUCAAUUAAUAGACACUUUGAAAAUGAAACAAACAACAUUAAUUGCAAGGAUGCAGGCGUAUGCGUAAGGUCCCAGCAUAGCGCGGUCGUGAAUAGAAUGCAAAUGUGAAAAAUCCUGUGCAAUAACAAUGUGUAAUCAGCAAUCGCUUUGUUCGAGCAUGCAAAAGGAUACAGCCAAUGUGUUAACAAUUCAUAUAUAACGAUCAUUUGCAUAUAUGUGUAAUCAUUUGAGAAUAGUGACAUACAAAAUCUAACAUAAAUACUAAAGAAUAAAUCUUCAUAAUAAAUGUUAAAAAUGUCAUCAAUAUCGGCCCAGGGUGUGGUCGAACGUGCCUCCGCAGAAUUAUCGAAACGGAUCAAUGGAUUGGGAUUGCGAUCAAAGCACCAUCACGGCAAGACGUCGGUUAUGGAGCGAGUAACGAACGCACUAUGCGGCGGAAGCAGUAGUAACCACAACAGUAAUUCCGGCAAUUCAAUAACGAAUUGUCCCGAGAAACCCUCCCGGGUUCCAGUUCCCACAAGUAGUGCGAGUGGCAGUGGUGCAGGUGCUAACAGUCCGAUAGGAACUACAAGUAACCAAUGUAGCAUGUCUAGUGGAAAUAGCAGCAUUAGCACGUCGAGUAGUAAACAAUUGUCUUCGAGUAAUCAAUCAGGAGCGAGUGGCGGCAGCACCAGCAAGAGCCAGGCCGGCACCCCACAACAAAUGCGGAAACAUCAUCAAGGACAUCAUCAUCACACGUCCACCCACUCGUACCAAGCCUUAGGAACCAAUCCGAUGAUGUCGGCAUCGCAUGCACCCCCUCAACCACAACUACCCCCCGUUCUUACUCUCGACCAACUUUUCCAGGACGAACGAUUCCUUAGCAAAUUCUUUUUGUAUUUUAACUCGUAUGACCGACGUGUGCUCGCACAGGUGUGUACGAGGUGGCGUGAUAUCCUGUAUCGGAGUCCGCGGUACUGGUCCGGACUUUUGCCAACUUUGCAAUGCAGGGAACUUCGGCAGGUCCCUAGCCAGGAUCGCGUGAAACUUUACAAUUCAUUAGUACGUCGCGGGUUUCAUGCGUUGUGUUUGAUUGGUGCGCAGGAUGAGGAUGCUUUGGAUAUUGUACAUUCGUUCCCGUUAGCUUCAAAGCAUAUACACUCGUUAAGCUUGCGAUGUUCGUCAAUAAGCGAUAGAGGACUGGAAGCGCUAUUGGAUCAUUUGCAGUCUCUCUUCGAAUUAGAAUUGGCUGGGUGUAAUGAAGUUACGGAGGCUGGCCUCUGGGCAUGUCUUACACCGCGAAUAGUAUCAUUAUCUCUUGCCGACUGUAUAAAUAUCGCUGAUGAAGCCGUAGGAGCUGUUGCACAAUUACUUCCAUCAUUAUACGAAUUUUCAUUGCAGGCCUAUCAUGUUACGGAUGCCGCCUUAGGAUAUUUUUCACCUAAACAAAGUCAUAGCCUCAGUAUACUGCGGCUCCAAUCCUGCUGGGAGCUUACAAAUCACGGAAUCGUAAAUAUUGUACAUUCACUUCCACAUUUAACCGUAUUAAGCUUAUCGGGUUGCAGUAAGGUGACCGACGACGGCGUUGAAUUGAUAGCUGAAAAUUUACAAAAGCUACGCGCAUUAGAUUUAUCAUGGUGUCCACGUAUUACUGAUGCUUCGCUAGAAUAUAUUGCCUGUGAUUUAAAUCAAUUGGAGGAGUUAACUCUGGAUCGAUGCGUCCACAUAACCGACAUUGGUGUCGGGUAUAUUUCAACAAUGCUCUCAUUAACCGCCCUAUUCCUGCGUUGGUGUUCACAAGUUCGGGAUUUCGGUCUACAGCAUCUGUGCUCAAUGCGUAACCUUCAAGUUCUAUCAUUAGCCGGUUGCCCACUGCUGACCUCGUCUGGUCUGUCCAGUUUAAUUCAAUUACGACACCUACAAGAGUUAGAACUAACAAAUUGCCCAGGAGCUAGUCAAGAACUAUUCGAGUAUUUACAUGAACACUUGCCGAGAUGUUUGAUUAUCGAAUAAUACUUAGUAACGUUAAUGACUACUGCAAUUUUAUAGAUUUUUUGGGAUUACUUUACCUGAGCAGCGGGUUUUUAUCGUUAUACUCUAUAGAAUUUAAUAAAGAGCUGUUUGAACAAAACAUUCAGAAAACAAACAAAAAAUGCUUUAGUGGCAGCGGAUAGAUAACAUAAGAAAAUAUUGAAGGGACAGCGAUGGCGGGCGUUAAGCUACAACAUAAUAUCGCUUUCUGAUAGACUCUAAAUGCUAUACUUUUUCGAUAUGUUCGUUUUUUAUGGUCAAUGUAAAAGGCACCGAUUUUAGGAUAAAAACAGUAUUAAUGUAACCUUCUAUGAAGAAUUUUUCUGUUAAAUUACGUUUAGUAAUCGUUUAGAAAUAUUUUUGAAAUUUCAAGUGCGGCUUUAUACUUGGAUUAUGUAUGGACUGUUCAAAUUUAAAUCAAAUUACCGAAAAAAUAGGAUUUUUGCAAUAAUUUAGAUGAUUAUUUCCGAAUAUUAAAUCAGAAAAAAUUAGUUGUAAACAAAUUUAAAAAAAUGUUUCAUGAUAUUGAAAAGUCUUUCAAAUCAAAAUCUUCAUUCAUACAAUAUAUUUUUAAGAAGAACUCGAAUACCUAACUACACAUAUAUUGUAUGAAGAUAUAUGACUAAAAUAAGAUAGCUACCGGGGAAAGAAAGAAAUAUUAACUAAAAGACAAGCAAAAUUAAAUAAAAAUUAAAUUUUACUGUGACUUCUUAUAAGGAUAUAUUUGAAACAAAAAAAAACUUAUAAGGAUCUAUUUGAAAAAAAAAUCUAAAA
rnacentral:misc_RNA from 1 species